rnacentral:rRNA from 1 species
GACGAACGCUGGCGGCGUGCUUAACACAUGCAAGUCGAACGGAAAGGCCCUGCUUUUGUGGGGUGCUCGAGUGGCGAACGGGUGAGUAACACGUGAGUAACCUGCCCUUGACUUUGGGAUAACUUCAGGAAACUGGGGCUAAUACCGGAUAGGAGCUCCUGCUGCAUGGUGGGGGUUGGAAAGUUUCGGCGGUUGGGGAUGGACUCGCGGCUUAUCAGCUUGUUGGUGGGGUAGUGGCUUACCAAGGCUUUGACGGGUAGCCGGCCUGAGAGGGUGACCGGCCACAUUGGGACUGAGAUACGGCCCAGACUCCUACGGGGGGCAGCAGUGGGGAAUAUUGCACAAUGGGCGGAAGCCUGAUGCAGCAACGCCGCGUGCGGGAGGACGGCCUUCGGGUUGUAAACCGCUUUCGCCUGUGACGAAGCGUGGGUGACGGUAAUGGGUAAAGAAGCACCGGCUAACUACGU